CUCCAGCCUGGGUGACAGAGCAAGACUUUGUCUCGAAAAUAAUAAUAAUAAUAAUAAUAAUCAUGAGGCUUUAAAUAUUUUUAUUUUGCUUACUCCCUUCCCCCUUCCCCCAUACACACACACACACACACAGUUCCUCCUCUGGCAAUCCUGUUGACGACUAAGUAUGUGUCCCAUAGUUUUCUAUGCUCAUGAAACCAGACACACCUAGACAUCUAUAGGGUCUUGCCAAUGCAGGUGACAAUAUUUUUGCAUCUUAGCUUUUCAAAAAUGUUUAUUUUUAGAGACAGGGUCCCAAUCUAUAACUCAAGCUGGAGUGCAGUGGCACAAUCAUAGCUCACUGCAGCCUUAAACUCCUGCCCUCAAGCAAUCCUCUCACCUGGGCCUACCAAAGUGCUGGAAUCACAGGCAUGAGUCACCAUGCCUGGCUGCAACUUAACUUUCUUACUCAAUGACAAGCUUAUUAUUUUUUUAAGACAUUUACUUAGCAAACACUUUUUUUUUUUUUUUUUUGAGAUGGAGUUUUGCUCUGUCACCCAGGCUGGAGUGCAGUGGCGCCAUCUUGGCUCACUGCAACCUGCACCUCCCAGGUUCAAGCAAUUCUCCUGCCUCAGCCUCCCAAGUAGCUGGGACUACAGGUGUGUGCCAUCACACCCGGCUAAUUUUUGUAUUUUUAGUAGAGACGGGGUUUCGCCAUGUUGGCCAGUCUGGUCUUGAACCCCUGACCUCAGGUGAUCCACCUUCCUCGGCCUCCCAAAGUGCUGGGAUUACAGGCAUGAGCCACUGCGCCCAGCUGACAUUUUUAUACACAUGGCCACAUUGUCCCCCAGAGGGGUACAAGUUUCCCCGACUUCAGCAGUGCAUGAGCCAGCAUUUCCUCACAUCUUCAGCAACACAGCCAGCUUUGAUCCUUGCCAAUCGUAAGGUGGAAAAAUGGAUUCUCUGAGUAGUUAUCAUUUACAUUUAUCGUGAAGGAGGCUGAACACUUUUUUUGUGUUUAACAGCCGUUUGUGGCCGGGCACAGUGGCUCUUGCCUGUAAUCACAGUACUUUGGGAGGCUGAGGCGGGUGGAUCACCUCAGGUUCAAAAUCUGUCAACAUGGUGAAACCCUGUCUCUACUAAAAAUACAAGUUAGCCAGGUGUGAUGGCACCUGCCUGUAAUCCCAGUUACUUGGGAGGCUGAGGCAGAAGAAUCGUUUGAACCUGGGAGGUGGAGGCUGCAGUGAGCCAAGAUCGCACCACUGCACUCCAACGUGAGGGACAGCAAGACUCUAUCUCAAAAAAAGAAAAAAAAGCUGGCUGGGCGCAGUGGCUCACACCUGCAAUCCCAGCUCUUUGGGAGGUUGAGGCAGGUGGAUCAUGAGGUGAGGAGUUCAAGACCAGCCUGACCAACAUGGUGAAACCCCAUCUCUA
rnacentral:lncRNA from 1 species